GAUGAAGAACGCAGCGAAAUGCGAUAAGUAAUGUGAAUUGCAGAAUUCAGUGAAUCAUCGAAUCUUUGAACGCACAUUGCGCCCCUUGGUAUUCCGAGGGGCAUGCCUGUUCGAGCGUCAUUAUAACCCUCAAGCUCAGCUUGGUGUUGGGGCCUGCUGCACUGGCAGCCCUUAAAAUCAGUGGCGGCGCCAUCUGGCUCUAAGCGUAGUAAUUCUUCUCGCUAUGGAGUCCUGGUGGAUGCUUGCCAUCAGCCCCCAAUUUUUCUAUGGUUGACCUCGGAUCAGGUAGGGAUACCCGCUGAACUUAAGCAUAUCAAUAAGCGGAGGA
rnacentral:misc_RNA from 1 species